CACACUGGAACUGAGACACGGUCCAGACUCCUACGGGAGGCAGCAGUGGGGAAUAUUGGACAAUGGGCGAAAGCCUGAUCCAGCCAUGCCGCGUGUGUGAAGAAGGUCUUCGGAUUGUAAAGCACUUUAAGUUGGGAGGAAGGGCAUUAACCUAAUACGUUAGUGUUUUGACGUUACCGACAGAAUAAGCACCGGCUAACUCUGUGCCAGCAGCCGCGGUAAUAGAGGAGGUGCAAGCGUUAAUCGGAAUUACUGGGCGUAAAGCGCG
rnacentral:rRNA from 1 species